rnacentral:rRNA from 1 species
GUUGUCCGGAAUUAUUGGGCGUAAAGGGAGCGCAGGCGGUUGAAAUAGUCUGAUGUGAAAGCCCACGGCUUAACCGUGGAAGGUCAUUGGAAACUGUUCAACUUGAAUACAGAAGAGGUAAGUGGAAUUCCAAGUGUAGCGGUGAAAUGCGUAGAUAUUUGGAGGAACACCAGUGGCGAAGGCGACUUACUGGUCUGUAAUUGACGCUGAGGCUCGAAAGCGUGGGUAGCAAACAGGAUUAGAUACCCUGGUAGUCCACGCCGUAAACGAUGAGUGCUAAGUGUUAGGGGGUUUCCGCCCCUUAGUGCUGGAGUUAACGCAUUAAGCACUCCGCCUGGGGAGUACGGCCGCAAGGCUGAAACUCAAAGGAAUUGACGGGGACCCGCACAAGCGGUGGAGCAUGUGGUUUAAUUCGACGCAACGCGAAGAACCUUACCAACUCUUGACAUCUUCUGAUCAUCCUAGAGAUAGGGCUUUCCCUUCGGGGACAGAAUGACAGGUGGUGCAUGGUUGUCGUCAGCUCGUGUCGUGAGAUGUUGGGUUAAGUCCCAUAACGAGCGCAACCCUUAUUGUUAGUUGCCAGCAUUCAGUUGGGCACUCUAGCGAGACUGCCGGUGAUAAACCGGAGGAAGGUGGGGAUGACGUCAAAUCAUCAUGCCCCUUAUGAGUUGGGCUACACACGUGCUACAACGGACGGUACAACGAGUAGCGAUCCCGCAAGGGUUAGCGAAUCUUAAUAAGCCGUUCUCAGUUCGGAUUGUUCUCUGCAACUCGAGAGCAUGAAGCCGGAAUCGCUAGUAAUCGCGGAUCAGAAUGCCGCGGUGA